AUGCUAUAUAGUAGUAACACUCGUAGGAACAAAUUAACUGUGUGUUGCCGUGUUAGCCAUUCGUUGAGAGACCAACAACAACGCCUCGAUCAAGAUCAACUCGGGUUUCCCCCCGGCCGGGGCUGGGCUGAUGAUGCUGCUUUUUGGGCCUAUUGGGAUCGGGGGCGACGUCGAUCGAACCUAGUGAUGGCAAUAAUACACCGGCUAUCGACCCUCCGAUCCGCCGAGUUGUGGGGUCAACAAGAUCCUGGACCCUCUCCCUCCCUCCCUCCUUCCCUCUCCCCUUUUCUAUUCCUCUCUCUUGAUCUUGAUUGA
rnacentral:rRNA from 1 species